GGCCCUGUAGCGCAGUUGGUUAGCGUGCCGCCCUGUCACGGCGGAGGUCGCGGGUUCAAGUCCCGUCAGGGUCGCCA
rnacentral:tRNA from 116 species